UUCCUUCCCCCUUCCCCACUUCCUUCCCCUGUGUGUGUGUAUGUGUGUGUUUGUGUUCGUUCUGAGAGGAAAGAAGGGAGCUUUAGCACAAGGGCUUGAGCUAAGUAGUGUUUUCCAGGAUUAGUUGUCUUGAACUCCAAGGUUUGGAUAGUCUUCACUGAACUCCCAAGUUAGUGGAUUGCAAAAUUGAAACUUGGCUUUUGCAGGGUUGGGUGGGUUUAGGUUGUUUGUGUGUCUCUUGCUGGGUGGUAGUCAUGACUGUAUCAGCUCAUGUGGCCUCCACGGAAUCUGAGAGCCAAGUGUUACCUCCUCCCCGUCUUCCUCACCAGCCUCCCUCCCUGCACCCCCACAAGCUUGGCUUGUGGUCUUUGUCAUCAGUAACCCACUGCCUGAGAUCAUGAUCUCUUAAAGUUGAGACUCUCAGAAGGGUUGAUUAUGUGUGUCAGUGAGCCUUCUAACUCUUUCUAGAACAAAGGCACUUGAAAUGUCUUUAUUGAAUUAAGGAGUAUUGCUAAAGAGGUCUGCUUUGGGCCCCAGCAGCACCUGGAAUCGCCAGGUGUGAGUGCAGGAAGCUAGUUGAGGGCUGCCCCUUGGGCCGGUGCUUCAGGAGGACUCAGGGAGGUUUCACACGCCUCCUCCCGACUCCUUGCUAAUUUUAAUCAGCUCUUUAAAUAGUUGCCCAUCUCCCAUGAUUGCACAACUGCUCACUUUGACAUUUGCGCCUAGGAAAAGGCAGGUGUUAUAAUGGAUCCAAAGACCUAGUGGGGUGGGGCUGGGUGGGAGGCGCUCCGGUGCCCUGUGGGCCUAGUGCCAGGCAGUUUCCUGGUUCUUACCAGGAAAAAAACAAAGCUUUAGAGGAAGCAGGCUCUGCCCCUGGGUCCUUGAAUGCCCCAUUGCUUUUUAAAUUGGUAUUUAGCUAGUGAUGUCUAAGACUUUGUUAUAAUUUCUACUGAUUUUCUUGCUGCCUCAAAUACACAGCUCCUCUCUGAGGAAAGUAAAAUGAGUAAGGAUAUGGGGAAAUCGGAUACGGAGACAUCCAAGACCAUCCCAAUUCCCUGACCCAACCACUGGCCGACUCAUGUUGCCGCCCAACCAUAGCUGCUUUUCUCCGCCCGCUGGAAGGACUGGCCAGGCCCAGUGUCCCUCCCACCCUGCCCCGCGCCCCUGGGCCUGGUCACUACACGAUGGAAAACAGACAAGCAGCCUCUUCCCCAGCCCAGGGUGUCUUGUUGCUUGGUGGACUCACCGCAAUGUGCAGAAGGCUCCAGGGCCACUUUCUUUUUAAGUAUCAUCUGUGCCUCAAAAUAUCAUAGUAGCUGCUUGAUCAAAUUCUGAAAAUAAAAUAUCUGGUUCUCUACUGUGUAAACACUAUUACAAUCACCAGUGUGUUAAGACUCUUGAACUUGGUUCUCAUGUCAGAGUCAUCCUUUUCUUCCUGUGGAAUAAAAUGUUCUGUCGACUUCCCAGAUUUGUACUUUGUUUUCUUCUGGUUUCUUGGUAAUCCAUAGAUUCUAGAACUAUCUCCAAUGGCAAAUACUAAAUACGGUAUAAUAUUUGCAAUGAAAUGUAGCCUCUGCCUGCAGCCCAGGGAGGCACGUGCCAGGGCAGACCCCACGCACUGAGCAGGUCCCGACUUCCCAAGAGUAGGACGUGGCACUCGCCUCUGCAGGCCCGGAGGCGCCACGCCGAGGUGACCGGUGCAGUCCCCAGCGGGACGGAAGUCGUCACUUGGCGUUUAGACCAAUGAAGUGCAAACAGCAAAGGAGACUCAGCAGGCACUUCCAGGGACGGAGCGACACCAAGAGGGUGUGGUCCAGAAAGGUUUCAAAGCCGAACUAAUCGGGGUUUGAGAACCAACACUGAACAAUGCAGUUGGCAGCGUCAAAGUCACUGGGAGCAGUUGCAGAGGAGGGGUGGGGCCGGGUCGGAGGAGAAAAAUGGAAGGAGAGAAGCUGGAGAGAAGGAGUCUGACCCUCUGGAGGAGUCCGGCCGUAAGCGGAAGAGAGCCCUGACCUACAUCUUCAAGUGGCCUGAGGGGCCGUUUCUAACCGAAGCUAUAUCCUCUGGAACGGCAGUAAGUGCUUAAAGUAAACAAAGUUAGAAGAAAGGCUACAGAAGAAAAGAACACAGCAGCCUUAAUUAAGCUUCCUCCAAAUAAUCCAGUUGGAACUUUAGAGGGAUUUGAUGCGGGAACAAUUGCGCUACAGAGCUGCCUUCUCCGCGCCCAGGAGCCGGGCCAAGCCAUUUGUCGCUCUGAGAGGAGCCAGACCAUGUUCUCUCACAGUCGUUGCCCAAGCAGCACACCCAGCAUAAAUAGUUCCCAGGGGCUAAUAAAACUUCACACCUCAUGCUUAUUCUGGUCUGACUCAAAAUCACAAAAAGGUCACGGAUGCAUUUUGACUUGGAGGAAACGUAUAGAUCUAGGCCAACUUGACUCUUGGAAACCCUGGGCAGGUCUGCCCUGGAGGGAGGUGGUGUGUGAGAGUGGGGAGGGGACAGGAGCUGAGAUGACUCCCAGGGCCACUUUAGGGGGAAAAUUCCUGCCUUCUGGGCAUGUCUUCCUAAGACACUUAACUUGAGGGUACAUGGAGACUUCUGGGAAGUUUGGCCAGCCCUGCAGAAAGGCAGCUCUCAGUUUGUUCGAUGAUUUGUCCGUAGAGAUCACACACCCCCAGGUGUCCCCCCAAACACAGGUGACUCUGAUUCUAGAGUAACCAAGCCUCUGGCCCUCUGACUACAGGGACACACUGCCAGCCCUUGCUGUCUAGCAUGUCCCGUGUGCCAGGCUCAGGAUUGGAUGCUGGGGACACGCAAUCAAUAGGGGGACACUCUCGCCACCCUCCCUGAACUAAAUUAACGGACGUUGGGGUGCAGCAGGGAAGACUGCACUGAGGAAGAGGCAGGCGAUCCGAGUCCAGAAAGGCCGAGAAGGAUGCACGAGGCAAAGGGGAAAGGGCGGUGCCCACAUGCAGUCGGCGCUGUGCAGCGCUGGUCACCGGCGAGGACCAGUAUCUCCAGACUGGCUGGAGUACAAGGACGGGAGGUGGGAGGUGGCCGGGGCCAGAUCAUCUUGGACUUCAUAAGUCAUGCUCGGACAGGUUUUAGGCCAAGGAUUCCACGGUAAGAUUGGCAUCUCAAAAAAUACCUCUCCGGGUGCAAGUGGAGCCGGGGCAGCGUGGAUCGGGAGUGGAAGGCCGCUGCAGUAGUCACGGCAAGAAGUAAGGCGCGCUCGGGCGGGACGGAGAAGCAUACCGAGUUGGGACAUGUUCUUGAGCAAGAACAGACAAACCAGAGGGAUCGAUUUAAUGUAGAGAGGAGACAAAAAGAUACCUAGGGCAGCUCCCAGGUUUCCUGCUUCAGUAGCCAGUGGUGCGCUUGCAAUCGGGGCAGACGGGACGGUGGCAGGAGCAGGGCGUGAGAGGCGGGGCCGGAGCGAGCCGUGGGGAACAAGUGGAGUGAGCGAAGGACACUGAGCAGCGGGGACUGGAGGGGCCGGUGGGAAAGGCAAGAACGUUCCACGAAAGAGGAUGUCGGCGGUGUCACAGCGGGUGCACGUUGUGUUGCACAGCGCGGAGGGGUCAGAAAGGUUCUGUUGGAAUCGCGGGAGCAGGAGCGACGUGAGACAGCGGGAAGUGGGGACGGCAGGGCAAGUAGAGGCAGUGGGUGGGACGGGGGCCACGGAAUGGUUGGCCCAUGGCAGCCAGCAGGAGUGGGACCCUCGGCAAAUGAAAGCGUGACAUGGCCACCUGUGGACAAUUCCAAACAAUAAGAAAACCAGGCCUGGAAGCCAGUCUGCUUUUUAUUACCACCACGCUCUUGGCAAUUCUAAACAAACCUGGAGAUUUUCUGUGAAGAUAAGAUUUCCCUCCCUUUAAAAAUCUUCAGUGGGUUUAAAUUCCAUUGAGUUUGCGUGUGUGCUUCAAAUUAGCACAUUUCUAUUUUCCUUUAAUAAGCCUUGCAUUCCACGUGGACAGUAAUUCUGAGAACGGCCAGUUGUGCAGUGGGCGCCAACGCACCUGGCCCCAGCCGCACACCUUCCUGCGGAGAGAAUAUUCUAUGGGUUUGGAACUGUUCAGGCUUGCUUGGGGCACAGUUCAAGGCUCCCAGCCCCCUGUUCCUGCCUAUUCCUGCAUUUAAACAGGUUCGAAGUGAACAGUGACACACAGUGAUUGUAAAGAAGCAAUAGAACUUGGGUCGCUUCAAUUCUGUCAUUCUAUGGGACCGCUUGCAGUUUGUGUUUAAAAAUUUAAGCAGCGAAACAGGGUGCAUGCAGACUAUGAAGUGCAAUCUUUUUGUUUGGUAAGUGCAAAUUUUUGUUCAUAUAGGAAAUAUAAAUAAAAUAGUUACAUUAGUCGUAUGAUUUAGUAAUUACCAAAAUUAUAGAUGUACCUUUUGCAGAGGUAGUGAUUUCAUUAAAAUCCACCUAGAAGUUACUACAGGAUUAUUUAAGCAUUUGUUGUAUGGGGCUAUAACCAAAACAUAAAAAUCCAAGCCAUUAAAUAAAUAUAAAAAUAUGAUAUGAUUAAGUAAUUCUGCCCUUUUUGUAUUAUGAUACUUAUUUAAUUUUUACUGGCAUAAUUAUGGACUUUU